GCUGCUGAGAGCCUGCUAGGGCUUGGAUUUAGCAGGCUGCUUCAGUGGCUGUUGGUGAUUGUCCCUGGAGGGGAGAGACCCUGGCUGUGCCUGUGGCUGAGAAGGGCCUGCAUAACCCUGCUUAGAAGGAACAAAGGACCUCAACAAGGGGAUGGAUACAGAAUCCCCAACUAUACAGCAUCACCACUGAGGUACUCAGGAUCUCCUUUUAUGUUAAAAACAACAGGCGCUCAGGCACAGAGGUCAGGUUUGGGACAAAUUGGCAGGACGAUGGGAAGAUGACACUGCUGCUGUCCAUGCCGUACCUCUUCUAUGACUUCAAUUUCCAGGAAUAGGGAACUCCACAGACUUCACUCCUCUCCAAGGCUUUUCAGGAAGACAUAGAAUGACUGGUCCCACAUAGCUCCAUCCCUGCCAGGAGGCCAUCAGAAUGUCACCAUCCUUCAAAUUAGCAACAUGAUGGUAAGUAAUUGAAUUUUCUAGUCAAAGGUCAGGAGUAGGCAAAUGUAUAUGCUGACGGGGUGGAUGAGGGGAAGCAUGCCAUGCUUCCUGUAGCCAUGGGAAUGCUCUCUUUUUUGAACUGAGAAGUUCUCAGAGGGAAUUUGGCUUUCUGAGGUAAAGUCUGUCACAGAGCUGUCCUGGAUAGGGUUGGUCUCACUACCCCAAGCCAGGACACUUCCUAUAAGACACAAGUGAUUGCUAUGGCUAUAUCUGGA